UACGGAGGGGGCUAGCGUUGUUCGGAAUUACUGGGCGUAAAGCGCGCGUAGGCGGACCUGCAAGUCGGGGGUGAAAGCCCGAGGCUCAACCUCGGAACUGCCUUCGAUACUGCGGGUCUCGAGUCCGGGAGAGGUGAGUGGAAUUCCUGGUGUAGCGGUGAAAUGCGCAGAUAUCAGGAAGAACACCCGUGGCGAAGGCGGCUCCCUGGGACGGUACUGACGCUGAGACGCGAAAGCGUGGGGAGCGAACAGG
rnacentral:rRNA from 1 species